rnacentral:rRNA from 1 species
UAAACGGACCAUCGAGUAUCCAUUGGAGGGCAAGUCUGGUGCCAGCAGCUGCGGUAAUACCAGCUCCAAUAGCGUAUAUUAAAGUUGUUGCAGUUAAAAAGCUCGUAGUUGGACUUGUGUGCGCUGUCCGCGGGUGGCCUGCGCCCAAAAGGGCGUUUCGGUUCGGCCCCGGUGGCGCCUUGAAAUCUGCAGCUGGGGGGACGUUGGCCUUAACUGGUCGGCGACCGCACGCCGGCUGCUCGGUUACUGUGAGAAAAUUAGAGUGUUCAAGGCAGGCAUUGGGUGCAAUUGAAUACAUUAGCAUGGAAUAAUAAAAUAUGGCUCCUGCCGUAUUUUGUUGGUUUUGACUGGUGGGAGUAAUGAUUGAUAGGGACGGUUGGGGGUGCUAGUAUUGAGCGGCCAGAGGUGAAAUUCAUGGAUUCGCUCAAGACUAACUUAUGCGAAAGCAUUCACCAAGGACGUCCUCUUUAAUCAAGAACGAAAGUUGGGGGAUCGAAGACGAUCAGAUACCGUCGUGGUCUCAACCAUAAACUAUGUCGACUUGGGAUCGGCGGUAGUUUUUUCAUUAAGACACUGUCGGGACCACGGGAGAAAUCAAAGUGUCUGGACUCUGGGGGAAGUAUGGUCGCAAGGCUGAAACUUGAAGGAAUUGACGGAAGGGCACCACCAGGAGUGGAGCCUGCGGCUUAAAUUGACACAACGCGGGGAAACUUACCAGGUCCAGAGAUGUAGAGGAUUGACAGAUUGAAGCUCUUUCUUGAUCACUUCGGUGGUGGUGCAUGGCCGUUCUUAGUUGGUGGAGUGAUUUGUCUGGUUAAUUCCGUUAACGAACGAGACCUCAGCCUGCUAGUGUAGUCGGCUGGAUUGCCUUUGGCGAUCCGUGAUUUCGACUUCUUAGAGGGACAAUCGACGCGCAGUCGAUGGAAGUUUGAGGCAAUAACAGGUCUGUGAUGCCCUUAGAUGUUCUGGGCCGCACGCGCGCUACACUGCUGGGCUCAGCGAGUUUUACUUGGCCGAGAGGCCCGGUUAAUCUUGUGAAAUCCCAGCGUGCUUGGGCUCGCCUCCUGCAACUGGAGGCGCCAACGAGGAAUUCCUAGUAGACGCAGGUCAUCAACCUGCAUCGAUUACGUCCCUGCCCUUUGUACACACCGCCCGUCGUUCCAUAAGAGUGAGGCAUCCGGUGAAUUUUCGGGAGAGCCUGGGCGUGGCCAGCAAUGGUCUGCUCGGGUUUGAACUUGCAUAAACUUGGUGCCUAUGAUUAGGG